UGGUUCAGGAGCACCUGGUUUGGGGGGCCCUCAGAGAAGUACACAUCCACACCAGGCUCAUCCAUAGCAGCCCCUUCUGGCUGCAGAAGGAAAGGAAUCCUGAACAUCAGAGACCUGGAGGUGAUAUCCUGUUCCUCCUGCGAAGAUGUAGUCCUGUUUACACCUUCCGUGUUUCCACCUGCCGUAGCCUGACUCAGCCUGCAUGCAGCACCGAUGAAAACUUUUCGUUCUAGCAUCCAUCAAUUAACUUUGGGGAGCACUGUAUCACCUCUCGGAGAAUCACAACACAUUUAGCUCAUCAAAGGCUCUGAGAAGUCCUGCAUCAAGAAGUGCAAAAACCCAAGUCCUAAGUUUGGUUGUGGAACACUCUUUUCACAGCAUCUACCAACAUCCUGAGGAAAAGAGUUAGGGAAAUAUAGAUCCAGAGAUACCAAAAGGCAUAAAGUUAAGCUGUAAGCUUUCACUUUUUAUAACCUUAGACUAAAAAUUGAUGGGCCAAUCUAUUUUUAAAGAUUCUUCUAUUUUUCUAGCAGACCAUCUUUUCUCCUAUUACAAGGAAACUGGACUUUCUCUGAAUUUUUCAAAGUUAUAUUUGGGGCAGAGUAAACAAAUACAAAUUUCUGUUUUUGGAGCACAAGCAUAAAACAUUAUUCUUGAAUCAGUCGCCAUAGAGACUCUCAAUUGGUUAUUUUACGUGCUGUUUGCCAUUUACGUCCCGCCCCACCUUCAUCUGUAUAAUCAGCUACUAUUGAACGCAGGUAAUACGUUCCCGUGGCUGCCCCACGCGGCCGGAGUAGGCUGCAGACUUCUGCUAAGGCAUAAAUAGAGGGCAGACCUUGCCUCUGGCGUGGCUGACCUCGGCUGCAUAGGCUGUCGGCCCUCCCUGCUCUCCCCCGCCCAGACUGGCUCUUGAGGCCAGGCUGGGGUGACAUCCUUUCAGCUUUAGAGUUCGCAUGAGCUUGCGCUGUACCUCAGUCGUGGAUGGGACGUGUGAGGGUAUUAGCACGUUGGGGUUGGAAAUCCUCCCCAGGAAUCACCCAGCAAGUUCUGCCUCUCAUUUUAAGAAUCAGGUGGGGAGAAUGGUGGCCUGAAAGGUCCAAGGACUUACUGAUGCUGCUGCGACAUUCUAUGACCUCAGACUGCAAGUAAGAGCCAAUCCCGAAGCGGUUUGUUGCAGCCACGCGGAACACAUACUCAUUUCCUUCAGCGCAGGUUUGCCAGAAAUGCCAGCUCUGAGCUUCACAGAUGUACCUGCUCUGUAUUUGACAACUUCUGUAUAUUCUAGAGGCAAAU